ensembl:lncRNA
AGGUUUUCUACUGGUAAGCAGGUUCUUUCCUUUGUCUCUGUAUUUGUGUUGCAUUUGAGCAUAUACUUACUUGAUGUAGCCUAGGGCUUUAGUACUCUGUUGUUACUACUGUGCUUUCUAUGAUGUUACAGUGUUGCAUGUAUUCAAACGAAGUGUAACACUUCUUAGGUUGUAACAAGAUGUUAUGUUGCAAAGCAUUUGUGUGGGUUCUUUGUUCUAAUUACGUUAUUGGAACAAAAUAAUUGCUUUUCAGUUUGGAGUUUUCAGAAAACAUUUAACAUGUGGAUGGCCCACAGCUCUAUUUUCUUGAAGUAGCAGUGGUGUUCAGAAGUGAUCAAAUGCUGUGCCUCCUGCUGGGUGGUGAGCCAUUGGCUAGUGUUCAGGCUCAACACAGUCACAGCCUUGAAGAUAGGCAGAAGUUAGCAGAGUCCUGAAGAACUUACAGCUUUCAGACUAAGAAUGCAAGACCCUGUGAAUAAUUUGAAGGUAUUGCCCGGACCGGUUUCACUAUGGUGGUGUUUAUCUGUUUCUCUGAGAACUCAUUUCCUCAAGCAUGACUUACUCUCCAGUGUCUCUAUGCUCUUAUGUAAAUAAACAUGUUCAUGCUUUUGCCACAGCAAACAUUAAACGUGGUGGGGAUGACACACUCAGGAUACAUCUGUAUACCUGGAUAAGCUUGUGAUUACUGCUUGUAUAAGCAGAAAUCAUGAAACAUGUAUUUUCAACUAGCACAAGUGAUAUUAGCAGCAAUGCUAGCUCUAGCUUGCUGCAGAAACCAAAAUGUUUUCCUGAAUCCCAUGAAGAAUUCACUUCAUGAUCUUGCUUUUGCACAAAAUAAAGCCAAUGGUGUUGUACCUUCUGUUAUUCUUUAUUCAUAUGUUAUGUAUGAAUCAAUCACUUACUGAUUUUACUGCAUAGGUACAAUCACAGUUCGUCUAAGUGAAACAAAAAUACAGUCUGAGCUUUAAUUUCAGCUGCAAGUGAGCAAACCAUCUUUGCACCACCAUUUUCACUUGCAGAUAGUAACAUCAUGGCUGUCUUGAAAGUGUUUGAAUUCCUCCAGAUGAUUCAUAGCUCAUAUGAAAUCCAAGUGAAAUCAGACCAUGCUCUGGCCUGUGUUCUGUCUCUGGGUCUAUUUUGUUAUUUGUUUGUUCUGCCUGUUUGCAGGUGGGGGAUGAUUCAAAGCUUCUAACAAAAAGGCUAGAUGAGCAACUCUCUAAUUUCAGGAUGAAUCAUCCUUUCCUCUAGCUGUAAAACAUCUUAAGAUAGAUUCAUUUGUGGGGUUUUUGUUUGCAAAAUUGGGAAUAUACUACAUAAUUGUUGUUAAUCAGAGAUGGUUAAAUGGUGCAUUUACAAAAUUUAAGUGCUAAUACAUAAAGGAAGGGUUUAUUUCUCUAAGAAUUUUAUCACACAAUUUUAACAAUGACUGUGACUUCAGUGAAUGGUUCAUUGGCCUUCUCUAGUAAAAUCACUCUAAGUCACAGCUUUUCUUUACCUGACAUAAGAAUACUAGUUUAGAUUUGUGAGAAUAAGGAGAAAGAUGGUUACUGUUCAUAUUUCUCUUAAAGAUAUGAAUAACCUUAAUAAAAAUCAAUGUCUAGCCACUUAUGCUGAUGGAUGUUAUAUUCAAAAUUUCACAGAGAAACUAUCC